rnacentral:rRNA from 1 species
GACGAACGCUGGCGGCGUGCUUAACACAUGCAAGUCGAACGAUGAAGCCGGAGCUUGCUCUGGUGAAUUAGUGGCGAACGGGUGAGUAACACGUGAGUAACCUGCACUUGACUCUGGGAUAACUGCGGGAAACUGUAGCUAAUACCGGAUACGACCCUCGGAGGCAUUCACUGGGGUUGGAAAGAAUUUCGGUCAAGGAUGGACUCGCGGCCUAUCAGCUAGUUGGUGCGGUAAAGGCUCACCAAGGCGACGACGGGUAGCCGGCCUGAGAGGGUGAACGGCCACACUGGGACUGAGACACGGCCCAGACUCCUACGGGAGGCAGCAGUGGGGAAUAUUGCACAAUGGGCGCAAGCCUGAUGCAGCAACGCCGCGUGAGGGAUGACGGCCUUCGGGUUGUAAACCUCUUUUAGCAGGGAAGAAGCGAAAGUGACGGUACCUGCAGAAAAAGCACCGGCUAACUACGUGCCAGCCGCCGCCGUAA